UACAGAGGUGGCAAGCGUUGUUCGGAAUUACUGGGCGUAAAGGGCGCGUAGGCGGUUCGUUAAGUCCUGUGUGAAAUCCCCCGGCUCAACUGGGGAACUGCACAGGAAACUAGCGGGCUUGAGUUCGGGAGAGGGAAGCGGAAUUCCGGGUGUAGCGGUGAAAUGCGUAGAUAUCCGGAGGAACACCGGUGGCGAAGGCGGCUUCCUGGACCGACAUUGACGCUGAGGCGCGAAAGCUAGGGGAGCAAACGGG
rnacentral:rRNA from 1 species